GUCCUUUUGAUUUUUAUUUAAGGUCUGACCUGCCCACUGAUUUAUUUAAUGGCCGCGGUAUUCUGACCGUGCAAAGGUAGCAUAAUAAUUUGUCUUUUAAUUGAAGGCUUGUAUGAAUGGUUGGACGAGAAAACUUCUUUCUUUAUAAUAUAAUUAUGAAUUUUAUUUUUUAGUUAAAAAGCUAAAAUGUUAUUGUAGGACGAGAAGACCCUAUAGAACUUUAUAGUUUUUAUUAUAUUAAUAUUUUUGGUUAAUAAAUAUAUUAUUUAAUGUAAAUUAUUUUGUUGGGGCGACAAGAAAAUUUAUUUAACUUUUUUUAAUUAAUUUCACUAAUUGGUGUUUAAAUGAUCCUGUAUUAUGGAUAAUAAGAAUAAGUUACCUUAGGGAUAACAGCGUAAUUUUUUUGGAGAGUUCUUAUCGAUAAAGAAGUUUGCGA
rnacentral:rRNA from 1 species